GAGGGUGUGGCGCAACGGUAGCGCAGUGGAUUCCAAACCCACCGGCUGCAGGUUCAAAUCCUGUCACCCUUG
rnacentral:tRNA from 1 species